rnacentral:tRNA from 1 species
GGCUCCGUAGCUUGGAGGGAAAGAAGCGCCCGAAUAGCGAAUUGGGAGUCGUGGGUUUGAUUCCCACCGGAGCAC